CCUACGGGAGGCAGCAGUGAGGAAUAUUGGUCAAUGGACGGAAGUCUGAACCAGCCAUGCCGCGUGCAGGAAGACGGCCCUAUGAGUUGUAAACUGCUUUUGUACAAGGGUAAACCUGAAUACGUGUAUUCAGCUGAAAGUACUGUACGAAUAAGGAUCGGCUAAAUCCGUGCCAGCAGCCGCGGUAAUACGGAGGAUCCAAGCGUUAUCCGGAUUUAUUGGGGUUAAAAGGUGCGUAGGCGGAUUGAUAAGUUAGAGGUGAAAUGUGCGGGCUUAACUCGGGAACUGCCUCUAAUACUGUUUAUCUAGAGAGUAGAUGCGGUAGGCGGAAUGUAUGGUGUAGCGGUGAAAUGCUUAGAGAUCAUCCAGAACACCGAUUGCGAAGGCAGCUUACCAAUCUAUAUCUGACGUUGAGGCACGAAAGCGUGGGGAGCAAACAGGAUUAGAUACCCUAGUAGUC
rnacentral:rRNA from 1 species